AUGAACGCUGGCGGCGUGCCUAAUACAUGCAAGUCGAGCGAACAGACGAGGAGCUUGCUCCUCUGACGUUAGCGGCGGACGGGUGAGUAGCACGUGGAUAACCUACCUAUAAGACUGGGAUAACUUCGGGAAACCGGAGCUAAUACCGGAUAAUAUAUUGAACCGCAUGGUUCAAUAGUGAAAGACGGUUUUGCUGUCACUUAUAGAUGGAUCCGCGCCGCAUUAGCUAGUUGGUAAGGUAACGGCUUACCAAGGCAACGAUGCGUAGCCGACCUGAGAGGGUGAUCGGCCACACUGGAACUGAGACACGGUCCAGACUCCUACGGGAGGCAGCAGUAGGGAAUCUUCCGCAAUGGGCGAAAGCCCGACGGAGCAACGCCGCGUGAGUGAUGAAGGUCUUCGGAUCGUAAAACUCUGUUAUUAGGGAAGAACAAAUGUGUAAGUAACUAUGCACGUCUUGACGGUACCUAAUCAGAAAGCCACGGCUAACUACGUG
rnacentral:rRNA from 1 species